CCGUGUUUGAACGUUUAAAGCGCUGCUGUCCCGCUGUGUGAAUGCGUUUCAACUGAACAGCCAGGUCUAUAUAUAAGGUCGGUUUAAGGUUUCUUUGUAACGUCACCUGACGUUUCUUUGUAACGUCACCAGUCAAAGGACUGGCCCGCCCCGUCAUAACGAAAGGGGCGGGACAAAUCUGUUGCUUAGCAACUGAAAAAAAGGCACACCGCGCUGAAUGCUACAUCCGGCCUGCGACGGUACACCGCCUCCGCACCACCGUUUAAACAUGAAGUGUGGAUGUUAGAAGAUCCCAAAUAUGGAAAUAGUCAGGACCCAGAUGAACCUGUGCUGGAAUUCAGUGUGGGGUGGUGGGUCUCAGAGGACAAUUGCUACCCCUGUUGAAGUGAACAACGUGUGGAGUGCAACUGGCUUUGUGGCAUAGCUGGCUCUGGCCUUGGACUGUGUGUUUUUACUUUGUACCUAAAUGGGACACUGGACUUCUAACUACUAUUCAUUGUGUUUAUAAAUAAAAUUUUAGAAUUUUA